UUAUUUUCUGUGGCUGCUUAUGAUAAUAUUAGCAAGUAAUGGUUAAGCAGAGCAUUAAGACCAACAAAAUACAAACUGUAAAAAGCAGUCAAACAAACCGCACCAGGUGCAAUGUUAUUUUGAACAAUGUUUUCUAACAUGCGCAAAUUUUGUUUGCAAGUAGGAUAGCAUAAAUGCUUCCAAGGAACUGUGUGAGGAAAUGAAUGCCCUUGUGGAAAAGAAAGCUGAGCUUGCUGAUUAUCUCUGUGAAGAUCGAAACACACACUCAUUAGACGAUCUUUUUAACACUAUGAAAGCCUUCAGGGAUCUCUUCAUCAAAGCUCUCAAGGAAAAUCGAGACAGAAGGGAACAAGUGGUAAAGGCAGAAAAGAGGAGGAAAUUGCUUGAAGAGGGAGAAGCAGCUAAGCGUCAGAAGCAUUGUUAAAGAGCUUGAAAAUGAGCUGCAACAAAGGAAGCUGGCAUCUUUGAUGCUUUGUUGGAGAAAGGCUUUCAGUUGUAAGGAAAACCAUCAAUUCCUGGAAACUGUGCAGGAGCUGUCUUAAAA